UACGGGGGGAGCAAGCGUUGUUCGGAUUUACUGGGCGUAAAGGGCGCGUAGGCGGCCACCGCAAGUCGACUGUGAAAUCUCCGGGCUUAACCCGGAAAGGUCAGCCGAUACUGCGGGGCUAGAGUGCAGAAGGGGCAACUGGAAUUCUCGGUGUAGCGGUGAAAUGCGUAGGAUAUCGAGAGGAACACCGUGGCGGAAGGCGGGUCGUCUGG
rnacentral:rRNA from 1 species